AAGUCGUAACAAGGUUUCCGUAGGUGAACCUGCGGAAGGAUCAUUUGUGAAAAUUUUAAUGUUUUUUUUGAAGAGGGGUAAAAUCCUUUUUAGAAAAACAUAAAAAAGAGAUUUCUUGUGGUUUAUAAAUGAUUUUUAAAAAAAAUUGUUUGUUGUUGGAAAUUUAAACUUUCAAUGACAAACAAUUUAUAUUUUUAAAAAUCAAUUUUUUAUAAAAAACUAUUUUAAACAUGUAUUUAAAAAAUUAACAGUUUUAAAAAAAAUAAAUUAAAAAAAAAAUUAAAACUGUCAACGGUGGAUCUCUUGGCUCGU
rnacentral:misc_RNA from 1 species